rnacentral:lncRNA from 1 species
CUUCCAUCUGCCUAAGCGAAACUGUAAACGGGAUUUUUCCCCCCACAAUUGAAUGGAAGCUCUGUACUGUACCGACUUCUGGAUUUGCCCUGGGUUGAGUUUAGGGAAUGUCUGGAAAGCAAAAAGAGAGGAAAAGAGGAGGGGGGCAGCUCAAGCCCUGUCCAAGUUAGGCAGAAGGCUGUGUUAGGCAGGAAAGAGGCUACGGGAGAAACAGCUGGGAUGCAGACUGGCUGUGGAAAUCUCAGUUCUAGGAACCGUGUCCUUUGGUCCCGGAGUGGUCUGGAACUGAACCCGCAAGAUGUCCAAGAUUAUCUCCAAGCUAACAUCUGCUGCCAAUCCUCCUGUUUUAGCUGAGGAAGACUGGAAGCUGAGCUAACAUCCGUGCCCAUCUUCCUCUACUUUAUAUGUGGGACGCCUACCACAGCAUGGCUUGCCAAGCAAUGCCAUAUCUGCACCCAGAAUCUGAACCGGCAAACCCUGGGCGGCCAAAGCAGAACGUGCGCACUUAACCGCUGCGCCACCGGGCCAGCCCCCCUAAGCUUCUACUUUUAACCUGUUAAAGUGGGUUUCUUGUUGGCAACAUGUAGUUGUGUCUUACCUUUCUAUCCAAUCUGACA